GGAGAAUUAGCUCAGCUGGUAGAGCAUCUGACUUUUAAUCAGAGGGUCGGCGGUUCGAACCCGUCAUUCUCCACCA
rnacentral:tRNA from 1 species